GUCUAAAUGAGCCACAGCCCUCCGUUGGAUAGAAUAUCAGAUGCCCUGAUCAUAUUUACCAGUGGGUCAGAUUCCUCUAAGAUGUAACAGCUGUGUAAAGGAACACAGACUACAACCUUUGCCAGAAAGACUGUCGCCAGUCAUCUGACGAUCAGAUCUGGAGGUGUGAGACAGAAGACAAGUGUGAGGACAACCGGGAACAUGAGAAGUAAGCUACUCAAGUAAGAAGAUACCGGUCCUUGUCCCCUAACACACACAGAAGGUCACUAAAGGCAUUCUGGUACAAACAGAGCAAAGGGAUCAAUGGUUCAUGGACCCUGCUGUUUCCCAGGGAAUCACUGAAACCCAAGGAUCUGGAUUAGAAAACACAUACAGCAUUCUUAAAAGUUAAAAGAAGACGAGUAGCUAUUUGUUUAUAGACUAACUCAUCGAUCUAGAGAUUGAUCUCUGCCAAAUUCUCUGUAAUUCUGUUACCGUGUUAUUUAUGAAGAGCUGUGGCAUCGUGUUUCAGAAAUUACCAACCAGUCAGCACUGAUGGGAAUUUGAGUCAUCAGUUAUCUUCUUCAUGUCUAUAAAUAUAAUCAAAUUGUUCUCAUUCUUGAAAAACAAACCAAACAAACAAACCGAAGAAACAAACAAAAACCAAAAACUCCCAUAGUUCCUGGAAGGCUGAUAAUAUUCUAUUUCUUAAUUGAGAUGGUAGUUAUAGAUCUGUUUAAUUUACAUUAAUUCUUUAAGGUAUUUAUAGUUUUAUACACUUUUCUGCAUAUGUGUUAGUGUUUUAAAAUUAAAGAAUAUGCUGGAGGCAUCACAUUACAAGACUUCAAACUAUACUACAA